UGCAUUCCAACUACAACAAUUGUCUUCCUUUGAAUGGGGUAAUUCAAACUUGUCAAACAACAGGACUCGAGCAUUUCGCAAGUACCUCAUGUUUCUCCUUUGAAAAUAUUAAAUUCUUGUUAUGCUGGUUUAGAUGAAGGUAUUAAUUGUCAAGGAUUGAACCUCAAUUCGGUGGCACUUGAAUACCAUCAUCUAAAGCAAGCCUAACAAAAAUUUAUUCUUUUCAAAGGGAAAACAUGAAGUGCUUGGCAAAAUGCUUGAGUCCUGUUGUUUUCAAGUUUGAAUUUAUCUCAUUCAAAG
rnacentral:lncRNA from 1 species